GACGAACGCUGGCGGCGUGCCUAAUACAUGCAAGUAGAACGCUGAAGAGAGGAGCUUGCUCUUCUUGGAAGAGUUGCGAACGGGUGAGUAACGCGUAGGUAACCUGCCUUGUAGCGGGGGAUAACUAUUGGAAACGAUAGCUAAUACCGCAUAACAAUGGAUGACCCAUGUCAUGUAUUUGAAAGGGGCAACUGCUCCACUACAAGAUGGACCUGCGUUGUAUUAGCUAGUAGGUGAGGUAACGGCUCACCUAGGCGACGAUACAUAGCCGACCUGAGAGUGUGAUCGGCCACACUGGGACUGGAACACGGCCCAGACUCCUACGGGAGGCAGCAGUAGGGAAUCUUCGGCAAUGGGGGCAACCCUGACCGAGCAACGCCGCGUGAGUGAAGAAGGUUUUCGGAUCGUAAAGCUCUGUUGUAAGUCAAGAACGAGUGUGAGAGUGGAAAGUUCACACUGUGACGGUAGCUUACCAGAAAGGGACGGCUAACUACGUGCCAGCCGCCGCAGUAA
rnacentral:rRNA from 1 species